CACAUGUGUGUUCGUUUCAGUCCCUCCCCUUCUGUCGGUGGGAGUGGAGGGGGGGGGGCAUAAGCGUUGCAACGUAAGAGUCGACCCCUCUUCUGUUUUCUUUUUCUCUAUCCACAACAACACCCGGAUGACGGGAAGGGGGAGCCAGGCAAAGCCCCCCCCCAUCCCCUGCCACUGCCGAGCCGGCUUCUCGUGCUGACAGAGUCAGGUUCUGGAUGGCGUGGCGUCGGAGCGACCUGCGACGGUGAACACGUCUGUACCAUCUACAUGGUGGCAGCGUGACUCAAGCGUAUCGCACCCGACCCUCGCUGUUCACUGCCGGUGUGGGGAGAGGCUGAGUCACCCCAAAGGGGAUUCAUCGGGUGACAACCUUCGAAACAGAGGGGGAUGGGCAGAGUUGGAGGCAGAGGCCGUGCUCUCAGAUGGCUGAGUCGGCGCAUUGCUGGGGCGCGUGUGUCUACGUCUGCAUCGCACCACGCCAUGGGCCUGCGCGAGGCUGAGGAGAGCCGAGCAGAGUUGAGCUCGUGCACUAAGGCAGCGAAAUGGGCACGUUGGAGUGAAUAAAAAAAUGCGCCACAAUAAGGAAGUGGCGAAACAUCCAGCAUGCUUACCCUGAAUACUCUGAGCGUGUACACACGCCGGUCGACUUGCCGCCGCACACUCAGACAAUCCCAGGCGGGCUUGACGCGUCGAGUGUGUGCGGAAUGCGCCUUAAAGAAGGCGCGCGCGUGCUUACAGACGCACGCGCCCAACUUCCGCUUCCCCCUGGUGUCGCAUCCCUUUCUUUACGUCUCGGUGCAUGGCAGCAUCGCCUUUCGCUCGGCGCUGGGCACCUCAAGAUUGGACGAACGGCACAACUCCUACAUCUCACUUUUGGUGCCCCCACCGCUUUCUGAACGCGCAACGUUUGCCGUGCUGCAG
rnacentral:misc_RNA from 1 species